UUUAAGAGGGAAGUGACAGGAGUUCAGCUGGCGAAGGCUCUUUCUCUCCAGCCUGAGCAUGCAGUGAUAAGGAAAGACUUUAAUCCGCUGUCUGUCCUCCUGUCACGAAGCUGUUAAAGGCACUGAAAAUGAUUUCAAGCAGAAGGCUGGCAGGUGGUGCAAGUUGCUCUUGAGCAAGACAUCGUAGGAUUGUGGCACACGUUUCGUUGUCUCCAAAGCACAGCAGUCAGCCAGAAGACACAGAGACUUUGAACCAUGGAAGAUCCUUCUCAUCAUUCUGGGCGCUUCGAUUGCAGCAGCCAUCGCCAUCGGUCUCUUCGUUUACUUCAUACACUUUCCGCAAGACAGAAAAUAUGAUCAGAGAUUAACCUACUUCAGCAGCAACUUCAAAAUUAUGGGCGUCCAGUACAACCCUGCUUUGUCUCGACAGUCCUCAGAUCGAUUUAGAGAGGCAGGAAAUUGGAUUGAGAAACUGAUGUACGAGACAUUUCACAAUUCCAUUUUAAGGCAUAAAUAUAGAGGCUCACGGCUUGUCAAAGUGAGCCCAGACACAGGUGGAGUGAUUGCACAAGUUGUGCUGAUGUUUCUCUUCUCUUCUACUGAUAACACGGCACUACGGAUGGCAGUCGACAAGAUUUUGCAGGAGAGGUUGAAGAUGUAUCCUGGGUCUGCUCGCAUCAACCUCCCCUCUUCCACCC